rnacentral:rRNA from 1 species
AUGUACGCUGGCGGCGUGCCUAAUACAUGCAAGUCGAGCGAACGGACGAGAAGCUUGCUUCUCUGAUGUUAGCGGCGGACGGGUGAGUAACACGUGGAUAACCUACCUAUAAGACUGGGAUAACUUCGGGAAACCGGAGCUAAUACCGGAUGAUAUUUUGAACCGCAUGGUUCAAAAGUGAAAGACGGUCUUGCUGUCACUUAUAGAUGGAUCCGCGCUGCAUUAGCUAGUUGGUAAGGUAACGGCUUACCAAGGCAACGAUGCAUAGCCGACCUGAGAGGGUGAUCGGCCACACUGGAACUGAGACACGGUCCAGACUCCUACGGGAGGCAGCAGUAGGGAAUCUUCCGCAAUGGGCGAAAGCCUGACGGAGCAACGCCGCGUGAGUGAUGAAGGUCUUCGGAUCGUAAAACUCUGUUAUUAGGGAAGAACAUAUGUGUAAGUAACUGUGCACAUCUUGACGGUACCUAAUCAGAAAGCCACGGCUAACUACGUG